AAGCGGUGGAGUAUGUUGUUUAAUUCGAAGAUACACGAAGAACCUUUACCAGGUCUUGACAUCCCGAUGCUAUUUCUAGAGAUAGAAAGUUACUUCGGUACAUCGGUGACAGGUGGUGCAUGGUUGUCGUCAGCUCGUGUCGUGAGAUGUUGGGUUAAGUCCCGCAACGAGCGCAACCCCUAUUGUUAGUUGCCAUCAUUCAGUUGGGCACUCUAGCGAGACUGCCGGUAAUAAACCGGAGGAAGGUGGGGAUGACGUCAAAUCAUCAUGCCCCUUAUGACCUGGGCUACACACGUGCUACAAUGGUUGGUACAACGAGUUGCGAGUCGGUGACGGCGAGCUAAUCUCUUAAAGCCAAUCUCAGUUCGGAUUGUAGGCUGCAACUCGCCUACAUGAAGUCGGAAUCGCUAGUAAUCGCGGAUCAGCACGCCGCGGUGAAUACGUUCCCGGGCCUU
rnacentral:rRNA from 1 species